CUUAUACUUCCUCCGUUCGGAAUUACUUGUCGCAGAAAUGGAUGUAUUUAGAUGUAUUUUAAUUUUAAAUACAUCCAUUUCCGAGACAAGUAAUUCCGAACGGAGGGAGUAGAUA
rnacentral:pre_miRNA from 1 species